CCGCCCCGGCAUCACUCUCUCCCUCAUCAUCUCCCUCUGCGAUCGCGGAGUCAAUCCCGAAGCCCUAGCCGCCCUCGUCCGCGAGCUCUCUUGGUCAUCUUCAACUGCAAUCUUGGUCAUCAAAGGCAUGUCACGAUGUUGCUCUAGCCUUCAGGGGAAAUAUUGAGGUCUCUAUGGUGAUUUCGGAUUCUAACCCUUGCUAUGAAGACGCACAUAUGAAGCUUGCUGCAGUACUUUUAAUGUUGCUAUUGAGUCCAACUGAGUGUUAUGUUUGUUUCCUGAUCUUUUCUUUCUUCUGUCAUGAUCCUGUUCAUGCUUGAACAUUUGAAAGAUGGUAAAUUAGUGGACUAUGGUUGUGCUACUAUUUUGUUUAUAGACGAACUUACUACUCUUCUAGUUUAUCAAGUAAUUAAGUAGAUUGUCCUUACUAAU